rnacentral:tRNA from 1 species
GGGCUCAUGGUCUAGUUGGUAUGACACCUCCCUGACACGGAGGAGAUCUCCGGUUCAAAUCCGGAUGAGCCCA